AGGGGUAUAGCCAGUGGGAACAUUCGACUGCAGAUCGAGAGGUCCCCGGUUCAAACCCGGGUGCCCCCU
rnacentral:tRNA from 1 species